UACGUAGGGUGCAAGCGUUGUCCGGAAUUAUUGGGCGUAAAGAGCUCGUAGGCGGUUAGUCGCGUCUGCUGUGAAAACUCGGGGCUUAACUCCGGGCCUGCAGUGGGUACGGGCUGACUAGAGUGCGGUAGGGGAGACUGGAAUUCCUGGUGUAGCGGUGAAAUGCGCAGAUAUCAGGAGGAACACCGGUGGCGAAGGCGGGUCUCUGGGCCGUAACUGACGCUGAGGAGCGAAAGCUAGGGUAGCAAACGGG
rnacentral:rRNA from 1 species